AAGUUAGCGGCGGACGGGUGAGUAACACGUGGGUAACCUGCCCAUAAGACUGGGAUAACUCCGGGAAACCGGGGCUAAUACCGGAUAACAUUUUGAACCGCAUGGUUCGAAAUUGAAAGGCGGCUUCGGCUGUCACUUAUGGAUGGACCCGCGUCGCAUUAGCUAGUUGGUGAGGUAACGGCUCACCAAGGCAACGAUGCGUAGCCGACCUGAGAGGGUGAUCGGCCACACUGGGACUGAGACACGGCCCAGACUCCUACGGGAGGCAGCAGUAGGGAAUCUUCCGCAAUGGACGAAAGUCUGACGGAGCAACGCCGCGUGAGUGAUGAAGGCUUUCGGGUCGUAAAACUCUGUUGUUAGGGAAGAACAAGUGCUAGUUGAAUAAGCUGGCACCUUGACGGUACCUAACCAGAAAGCCACGGCUAACUACGUGCCAGCAGCCGCGGUAAUACGUAGGUGGCAAGCGUUAUCCGGAAUUAUUGGGCGUAAAGCGCGCGCAGGUGGUUUCUUAAGUCUGAUGUGAAAGCCCACGGCUCAACCGUGGAGGGUCAUUGGAAACUGGGAGACUUGAGUGCAGAAGAGGAAAGUGGAAUUCCAUGUGUAGCGGUGAAAUGCGUAGAGAUAUGGAGGAACACCGGUGGCGAAAGGCGACUUUCUGGUCUGUAACUGACACUGAGGCGCGAAAGCG
rnacentral:rRNA from 1 species